GUCGCGGGAGAAGGGGCCCUUCGGGGCCCCGGAGACCGGCGGAUGGGUGAGUAACGCGUAGGUAAUCUGCCUUUAGCACGGGAAUAACCCACCGAAAGGUGAGCUAAUGCCCGAUGAUGCAGCGGCCCCGCAUGGGGACAGUUGUUAAAGCCUUCGGGCGGCUAAAGAUGAGCCUGCGUGCCAUUAGUUAGUUGGUAGGGUCAAAGCCUACCAAGACGAUGAUGGCUAGGGGGUCUGAGAGGAUGACCCCCCACACUGGGACUGAGACACGGCCCAGACUCCUACGGGAGGCAGCAGUGAGGAAUCUUGCGCAAUGGGGGCAACCCUGACGCAGCCACGCCGCGUGCUGGAAGACGGCCCUAUGGGUUGUAAACAGCUUUUGGUCGGGAAGAACCCCGGAGUUUCGACUCCGGCUGACGGUACCGAUUGAAUAAGCACCGGCUAACUCCGUGCCAGCAGCCGCGGUAAUACGGAGGGUGCAAGCGUUGUCCGGAAUUAUUGGGUGUAAAGGGUGUGCAGGCGGAAGUCUAAGUCGGAGGUGAAAUCUUGCCGCUUAACGGUAAAAGGGCCUUCGAAACUGGAUUUCUUGAGUUCGGAAGAGGUU
rnacentral:rRNA from 1 species